AUUGAACGCUGGCGGCAUGCCUUAUACAUGCAAGUCGAACGGCAGCACGGGAGCAAUCCUGGUGGCGAGUGGCGAACGGGUGAGUAAUAUAUCGGAACGUGCCCAGUCGUGGGGAUAACGUAGCGAAAGCUACGCUAAUACCGCAUACGAUCUAUGGAUGAAAGCGGGGGAUCGCAAGACCUCGCGCGAUUGGAGCGGCCGAUAUCAGAUUAGGUAGUUGGUGAGGUAAAGGCUCACCAAGCCGACGAUCUGUAGCUGGUCUGAGAGGACGACCAGCCACACUGGGACUGAGACACGGCCCAGACUCCUACGGGAGGCAGCAGUGGGGAAUAUUGGACAAUGGGCGCAAGCCUGAUCCAGCAAUGCCGCGUGCAGGAUGAAGGCCUUCGGUUGUAAC
rnacentral:rRNA from 1 species